GACGAACGCUGGCGGCGUGCCUAACACAUGCAAGUCGAGCGGGGACAGAUGAGUAGCAAUACGAGUUUGUUCUAGCGGCGGACGGGUGAGUAACGCGUGAGCAACCUGUCCCAAACAGGGGGAUAACGAACCGAAAGGUUCACUAAUACCGCAUAAGACCACGGAGUCACAUGGCUCAGGGGUCAAAGGAGCAAUCCGGUUUGGGUGGGCUCGCGUCUGAUUAGCUAGUUGGUGAGGUAACGGCUCACCAAGGCGACGAUCAGUAGCCGACCUGAGAGGGUGAUCGGCCACAUUGGAACUGAGACACGGUCCAAACUCCUACGGGAGGCAGCAGUGGGGAAUAUUGGGCAAUGGGCGAAAGCCUGACCCAGCAACGCCGCGUGAAGGAAGAAGGUCUUCGGAUCGUAAACUUCUAUCCUUGGUGAAGAUAAUGACGGUAGCCGAGAAGGAAGCCCCGGCUAACUACGUGCCAGCCAGCCGCGGUAAAACGUAGCGUG
rnacentral:rRNA from 1 species